CUGUGACCUCACAGGGUAAGUCCCUGCCCUAGUGACAGCAGUGGCCUUGGCCUGAGGGCAACACAGAGUCCAGCAAGGACAGCUGGGAGUCAAAGCAGGCCCAAGUGUCUCGGGCAGCUCAUCCUAAGAAGAGCUAGAAACAGCAGGGAUCAGGGGUCCCAUAGCAGUGGGACUGGCCACUCAAGAACCCAGGGAAGAAACUGCUGGACUCACCAGGGAGAGGGGCCUUGGAAUGAAGCCACACAGAUGUAUCUGGACCAGGACUCCAACCUCCAGCCUAGAAAAGGUGACAGCAGCUGAGGCAGAGCCAGCACCGUGUCAGGAUCCUGUUUCCAAACUGUGAUGGGAUGGAGCUCUGCUGUCACACUGUUCUCCGGU